GUUAAGUGGAUGGUGUUGAUGCCGAACUUAAAAUACUUUUGCCCGUAUUAGUUAUGUUGACGCCGUCGUGAAAAAACGUUUGGUUGACGCGGUGUUUUAAAAAGUUCAGAAAAAGCAAAAAAAGUGGUUGGAUGAGCAGUAUAAAAAGAAAAAAAUAAGUGUAUAAAGAACACAAAAUACUAAAAUAAUCCGCUUACGGGCGAAACUACAACAUUUUAAAUCACCCUGUGUGAAAAUAUCCAUGUAUCUUUCACCGGAUGUUAUAAUAAUCACUAAAAUUGUGUGAUUAAAAAAAUCCUUUGAGUGAAAAAAAUUAUAAAGUAUCUUCAAUAGCAUUGAAACUUGAAAAAAAAAUAUUUUAUCAUAAAUCUAAAAAAUAAUUAUAAAACUUUACUAAAACUAAACCUACAUACGUACUUACUGCAUACAUAAAUA